UACGGGGGGGGCAAGCGUUGUUCGGAAUUACUGGGCGUAAAGGGCUCGUAGGUGGCCAACUAAGUCAGACGUGAAAUCCCUCGGCUUAACCGGGGAACUGCGUCUGAUACUGGUGGGCUUGAAUCCGGGAGAGGGAUGCGGAAUUCCAGGUGUAGCGGUGAAAUGCGUAGAUAUCUGGAGGAACACCGGUGGCGAAGGCGGCAUCCUGGACCGGCAUUGACGCUGAGGCGCGAAAGCCAGGGGAGCAAAGCGGGAGUUAAG
rnacentral:rRNA from 1 species